rnacentral:lncRNA from 1 species
AUUCAACGUGAAAUGAUUCAUAGCUCUGACUAAAAACAUCAUAAAAGAAAAGCUUUUCCUCAGAGCUCAGAAAAGGUCAAACAGAAGCCACUGGCAAAAAGAAGAACCGAAGGACUCCAGUCAUUUGAAAGCCAGCUGAACGGUCAUCGGGAAAGCAUGCCACUACGCCAUGAGAAUACUCAAGCAGCCCAUGGAGAAGCCUAGAGGGGAUCAUGUGAAGCCUUUUGUCAACAAAUAGCAGCAGGUGAGUGAGUCAUCUUGGAAAGGAUCCUAAGCCCCAUGCAAGCCUUUAGGUGACUGUGGCCCUGGACGACCUCUGGACUAUAACCUCAUGAGAGACCCUGAGACAGAAUCACCCAGCUAACUGCUCCCAAGUUCCUGGCCUA